UACGGGGGGAGCAAGCGUUGUUCGGAUUUACUGGGCGUAAAGGGCGCGUAGGCGGUCAGUGCAAGUCAGUUGUGAAAUCUCCGGGCUUAACUCGGAAAGGUCAACUGAUACUGCUCGACUAGAGUGCGGAAGGGGCAACUGGAAUUCUUGGUGUAGCGGUGAAAUGCGUAGAUAUCAGGAGGAACACCGAUGGCGAAGGCAGGUCUCUGGGCAUUAACUGACGCUGAGGAGCGAAAGCAUGGGGAGCGAACAGG
rnacentral:rRNA from 1 species